rnacentral:rRNA from 1 species
CAGCCGCCACGGGAAUACGUAGGGUGCGAGCGUUAAUCGGAAUUACUGGGCGUAAAGCGUGCGCAGGCGGUUGUGUAAGACAGGUGUGAAAUCCCCGGGCUUAACCUGGGAACUGCGCUUGUGACUGCACAGCUAGAGUAUGGCAGAGGGGGGUGGAAUUCCACGUGUAGCAGUGAAAUGCGUAGAGAUGUGGAGGAAUACCGAUGGCGAAGGCAGCCCCCUGGGCCAAUACUGACGCUCAUGCACGAAAGCGUGGGGAGCAAACAGGAUUAGAUACCCGCGUAGUCCCUGUCUCUUAUAC